UACGGAAGGCAGCAGUGGGGAAUAUUGCACAAUGGGCGCAAGCCUGAUGCAGCCAUGCCGCGUGUAUGAAGAAGGCCUUCGGGUUGUAAAGUACUUUCAGUCGUGAGGAAGGUGUUAAGGUUAAUAACCUUAGCAAUUGACGUUAGCGACAGAAGAAGCACCGGCUAACUCCGUGCCAGCAGCCGCGGUAAUACGGAGGGUGCGAGCGUUAAUCGGAAUUACUGGGCGUAAAGGGCACGCAGGCGGUUAAUUAAGUUGGAUGUGAAAUCCCCGGGCUUAACCUGGGAAUGGCAUUCAAGACUGGUUAGCUAGAGUCUUGUAGAGGGGGUAGAAUUCCAUGUGUAGCGGUGAAAUGCGUAGAGAUGUGGAGGAAUACCGGUGGCGAAGGCGGCCCCUGGCAAAGACUGACGCUCAUGUGCGAAAGCGUGGGGAGCAAACGAGGAUUAGGGUACC
rnacentral:rRNA from 1 species